AUUGAACGCUGGCGGAAUGCUUUACACAUGCAAGUCGAGCGGCAGCGCGGGGGCAACUCUGGCGGCGAGCGGCGAACGGGUGAGUAACAUAUCGGAACGUACCCAGUGGUGGGGGAUAACACAUCGAAAGAUGUGCUAAUACCGCAUACGACCUGAGGGUGAAAGGGGGGGAUCGCAAGACCUCUCGCCGUUGGAGCGGCCGAUAUCGGAUUAGCUAGUUGGUGGGGUAAAGGCCUACCAUGGCGACGAUCCGUAGCUGGUCUGAGAGGAUGAUCAGCCACACUGGGACUGAGACACGGACCAGACACCUACGGAAGGCAGCAGUGGGGAAUUUUUGACAAUGGGGGCAACCCUAAUCCAGCCAUUCCGCGUGAGUGAAGAACGCCUUCGGGUUGUAAAGCUCUUUCGGCAGGAACGAAACGGUGGGGGCUAAUAUCCCUUGCUAAUGACGGUACCUGAAGAAGAAGCACCGGCUAACUACGUGCUAGCAGCCGCCGCGGUAA
rnacentral:rRNA from 1 species